rnacentral:rRNA from 1 species
UACGAAGGAUGCGAGCGUUAUCCGGAUUUAUUGGGUUUAAAGGGAGCGUAGGCGGUCUUAUAAGUCAGUGGUGAAAUCUCGUUGCUUAACAACGAACGUGCCAUUGAUACUGUAGGACUUGAGUACAGUUGCCGUUGGCGGAAUGUGUCAUGUAGCGGUGAAAUGCAUAGAUAUGACACAGAACACCGAUUGCGAAGGCAGCUGACGAAACUGUAACUGACGCUGAGGCUCGAAAGCGUGGGGAGCAAACAGG